UGGUACAGUCUGCCCCCAUCCGCGGAACUCCAGUCCCUGCAGAUGAUCUGGUGGAAAUGUUAUGAAGACAGGUUUUAAGCCAAUAAUCAUACGCGAGCAAGCAUUUCACAGUCUAAAAUUAGGUGUGGAUUUAAAGCACACAUUGAAGAGCUGUUGAAUCACCAUCUCUGGAAAAUGGAUCCAGGAUACUUAUUACAUCUCGCUGUUUGAAAUACGUCUCAAUUCAUCUCCUCACUCACUGGCUUUCUUUCUACCACCAAUAACAUACCAGGCCGACGACGACAGCUAGCUAGCGGGUAUUCCUAGCCACCUAGCUAACAUACUGGUUUCCCCAUCUUUUCUCAGAUAUCCACAAUGGCCACUAAGGUCCUGGAUGUUCCUUCCACACCUUGCCCUACCUCUUCGUGAUUGAACAGCUGCUGACUGACCAGAGAGGUGAUAUAUGUCAGUGUUGCCAUGACUUAAAGACGUCAUCAAUCAAAGAUGGAGAAAAAGAAAAUGUGCCCCCGUCUGCUGGACUACCUGGUGGUGGUCGGAGCCAGGCAGCCCAGCACUGAUACCGGGUCCCAGACCCCCCAGCUCCUUCGCCGCUACCCGCUGGAGGACCACCCGGACUUCCCUCUGUCCCCGGACGUGGUCUUCUUCUGUCAGCCUGAGGGAUGCCAGAGCAUCCGGCAGCGCCGGGUCAGCCUGCGAGACGACGCCUCCUUCGUCUUCGCACUCACUGAUAAAGACUCGGGCAUCACGCGCUACGGUGUCUGCGUCAACUUCUACCGCUCCUUCCAGCGUGGGGGGCACCGCCGUGACAAGGCGGGUAGCGGUGGAACGGCGGCACAGACAGCGGAAGCGACCAGCGAGGGUUCCGAUGGCAGCGGUGGCUGCCCCACUGCCUCCACGUUGCCGACACCUGCCAGUGCCGACACAACAGCCACAUCUGCGCCAGGCACGGAGCCGGGACCGCCCGGUGGUGAGCCAAAUGCUGGCAGGUCCCCUCGGCACAAACGCAGCACUGCCAAAAUGGUCAAUCGGAACCGCGACAGCACGCUGACCUCGCUGUGCAUGAUCAGCCACUACCCCUUUUUCUCCACCUUUAGGGAGUGCCUGUACAUCCUCAAGAGAAUGGUGGACUGCUGCAGCCACAGGUUGACCCAGCGCGCCGGCCUGCCCCGCGCAACUCAGAGGGACACCAUGUGGCGCGUGUUCACGGGAGCACUGUUGGUUGAGGAGAAGGGCAGCCAGCUGCUGGCUGACCUGCGGGAGAUCGAGUCCUGGGUCUACCGCCUCCUGCGCUCUCCGGUGCCCGUGGCGGGCCAACGGCGCGUAGAUGUGGAGGUGCUGCCCCACGAGAUGCAGCCGGCACUCACCUUUGCCCUGCCCGACAACUCUCGCUUCUCCAUGGUGGACUUUCCCCUGCACCUGCCCCUGGAGUUGCUGGGUGUGGAUGCCUGCCUCAUGGUGCUCAGCUGCAUCCUGCUGGAGCACAAGGUGGUCCUCCAGUCGCGGGACUACAAUGCCCUGACCAUGAGUGUCAUGGCGUUUGUAGCCAUGAUCUACCCCCUGGAGUACAUGUUCCCUGUCAUUCCCCUACUGCCCACCUGCAUGGCCUCCGCUGAACAGCUUCUCCUUGCCCCCACGCCUUACAUCAUAGGUGUGCCUGCCAGCUUCUUCCUCUACAAAUCCGAUUUCAAAAUGCCCGACGACAUUUGGCUCGUGGACCUGGACUGUAACAAGGUCAAAGCACCCACCAACGCAGAGCACCUACCCCCUCUUCCCGAGCCAGAAUCCACAGAACUCAAGAAACACCUGAAACAGUGUCUGGUUAGGUUGACCGUGAUCACCCAAAAGCAGAUCUUCUCCUCUGACAAUAAGGCCCUGGCCAGCAUGAGUCUCAACACCCAACCCAUUCUGAACCUGGAGAAGUUUCAGGAGGGUCAGGAGUUACCCCUGCUCCCCCCCGGCCAGAACAAGGCGUCGCCCUCCUCCACAGAGUUCAACCCCCUCAUCUACGGCAACGACGUGGACUCUGUGGAUGUGGCCACCAGGGUUGCCAUGGUGCGUUUCUUCAACUCCCCCAACGUGCUCCAGGGUUUCCAGAUGCACACACGCACGCUGCGCCUUUUCCCCCGGCCUGUGGUGGCAUUCCAGGCCACGUCCUUCCUGGCCUCGCGGCCCCGCCGCUCAGGCUUCGCUGAGAAGCUGUCGCACACCCAGGCCGUGGAGUACUACGGCGAGUGGGCCCUCAACCCCACCAACCUGGCCUUUCAGAGGAUCCACAACAACGUGUAUGACCCAUCUUUGAUCGGAGACAAGGGCAAGUGGUACGCCCACCAGCUGCAGCCGGUGUUCUACCGCGUGUACGACGGUAGCUCCCAGCUGGCCGAGGCCAUGAGUGGACCCCUAGAGGAUGAGGCUAAUGACUCGGACCCCACAGACGACAGCAGCGACAGCGAGGCUGGCUACGAUGACUCCAGCUCUUCCUACUCGUCACUUGGAGACUUGGUGAACGAAAUGAUCAAAUGUGACAUCCAAGGGGACAUGCCAAACCUGGAUCCCCCUACCCACGCUGCGCUGGGAGAUGCCAGCGAAGUGGAGUUCCAGGAGUUUAAGGGAGAGGGUCUCCUCCCUCAAGAGAAGGCACUGCCCGAGGGGGGUGAUGGAGCUCCUGAACCUCCUGAUGGACAAACCCUCCGCUCGAGCUCCAGCACAACCGCCAGCUCCAGCCCCAGCACAAUCAUCCAGGGAGUCAACAAUGAGCAGGCAGAACCAGUGGAAAUGGAGGCGUUGGCCAGUGCAGCUCUACAGAACCCUGUCCCGGGACCGGGCGCUCCGCCUUUCUCCAGACCUCCUCCAGACGCUGCCCCGGUGGGACCAGCCAAUAAGAAGGGAGAGUACGACAACCCCUAUUUUGAGCCUCAGUAUGGCUUCCCUGCUGAGGAGGACCCUGAGGCAGAAGACCAAGAGGAGACGUACACGCCCCGGUUCAACCAGAACCUCAACGGCAACAAAGCCCAACGCCCCCUGAGGCCCAGCAGCCUAAAGCUGCCCGGAGAGUCGGAUGGAGAGGGCGACUCCCGCAACAGUUCUCCAAAUUCCACCAUCUCCAACAACAGCAGCGAUGGCUUUGGGGGCCUCAUGUCCUUUGCUAGUAAUCUGUACAAGAACCACGGCACCAGCUUCAGCCUCUCCAACCUGUCUGUACCCAAUAAGGGGGGGCUGAGGGAGAAGGCCGCUGGGGCUGGGCCCUUCCCCAAUCUCAAAGUAUUUGGACUAAAUUCUCUAAUGGAGAUAAUUACAGAGGCCGGCCCGGGGAGCGGAGAAGGAGGCGCCCGUGGCCCCCCCAGGGCCCUCGUUGACCAGAAGUCAUCGGUCAUUAAGCACAGUCCCACGGUCAAGAGAGACUCCCCCUCUCCCCAGGGUCGUGCCAACAACACCAGUGAGAACCAGCAGUUCCUGAAGGAGGUGGUGCAGAGCGUGUUGGAGGGCCAAGGCGUGGGCUGGCUCAACAUGAAGAAGGUGCGCCGCCUGCUGGAGAACGAGCAGCUACGCGUCUUCGUGCUGAGCAAGCUGAACCGGGCCGUCCAGUCAGAGGAGGAUGUCAGGCAGGAGGUCAUCCGUGAUGUGGAGAUUAGCAGGAAGGUGUACAAGGGCAUGUUAGACAUACUGAAGUGCACCGUUUCUAGUCUGGAACACUCGUACACCAAUGCCGGGCUUGGAGGCAUGGCCAGCGUCUUCGUUUUGCUGGAAAUAGCACGCACCCACUACCAAACCAAAGUAGACCCAGAGAAGCGCAAGCGGAGCCCCAGUGACGCUGCAAGCAGCCCGGGCAGCAAGGGGAGCCCAUCUCCCCGCAUGGAGGGCACCAAGCCCCCGGGGCUCCUCCUGGUUCCCCGUCUCCAACUGCCGCACCCCACCUCGGGGGGCAAAGGCACCCGCCACUUUGACACCCGGAGUCUGAACGAGGAGAAUUUUAUUGCCUCCAUUGAAUUGUGGAGCAGGCACCAUGAAAAGGAUAAGCAAAAAGCUAUGGAAAAACAACAGAGAGCGGAGGGGGCUAAGAAACAGCACCCUGAGCUGACCGACACUGAGGAGAAGAAGUCCCAGAUCAGUGCUGACAGUGGCCUCAGCAUCACCUCCGGAUCCCAGAAGAGUGACACAGAGUCUGUGACCAGCACUGAACCGCCAGUCCUUACCAGAAGCACCAGCCAGGACUCAGAGGCCAGCACAGUGAUAAGUAACAGCUCAGGGGAGACGCUGGGAGCUGACAGUGACUUGAGUAGCACCGCUGGGGAGGGCUUGGGUGGCAGGCAAGCCCCCCACCUCAACCUCUCCAGGGGAACACUGUCCGACAGCGAGAUUGAGACCAACCCGGCCACCAGCUCAGUGUUUGGUAAGACCCAAAAGAUGAAGCCUGGUGUGAAGGAGGCGAAGGCUAAACUUGUGCCUGUCCUGGCUAAGGGGCCUCCCGCCCAGCCCUUGGAGGACAUCAGCAUGAGGAUUUACCUGUGUGAUGGCCUGCUGGGGCGUGACAAGAGCUCCAUGUGGGACCAGCUGGAGGAUGCUGCCAUGGAAACCUUCUCUCUGAGUAAGGAGCGCUCUACAUUGUGGGACCAGGUCCAGUUCUGGGAGGAUGCUUACUUGGAUGCUGUCAUGUUGGAGAGGGAGGGGAUGGGCAUGGACCAGGGACCUCAAGAGAUGAUUGACAGAUACCUGUCACUCGGGGACCACGACCGUAAGCGCCUGGAGGACGAUGAGGACAGGCUGCUAGCUACUCUACUGCACAAUAUGAUCGCCUACAUGCUAAUGGUUAAGGUGAACAAGAAUGACAUCAGGAAGAAGGUGAGGCGUCUGAUGGGGAAGUCCCACAUCGGCCUCAGCCACAGCCAGGAGAUCAACGAGUGUCUGGACAAACUGGCUAAUUUGAAUGGCCGCGAGCUGUCCAUCAGACCUAGCGGAAGCCGUCACAUCAAGAAGCAGACCUUCGUGGUGCAUGCUGGGACAGACACCACGGGGGACAUCUUCUUCAUGGAGGUGUGUGACGACUGCAUAGUCCUGCGCAGCAACAUCGGCACAGUGUAUGAGCGCUGGUGGUACGAGAAGCUCAUUAACAUGACCUACUGUCCCAAGACCAAGGUGCUGUGUCUGUGGAGACGCAAUGGCCAGGAAACCCAACUCAACAAGUUCUACACCAAGAAGUGUCGUGAAUUGUAUUACUGCGUGAAGGACAGCAUGGAAAGGGCUGCUGCACGACAGCAGAGCAUUAAACCAGGUCCAGAGCUGGGUGGAGAGUUCCCUGUGCAGGACAUGAAGACGGGCGAGGGAGGACUGCUGCAAGUCACCCUGGAAGGCAUCAACCUCAAAUUCAUGCACAGUCAGGAGCGGAAGGUUUUCAUAGAGCUGAAUCACAUUAAAAAGUGCAAUACUGUGAAGGGAGUCUUUGUCCUGGAGGAAUUUGUUCCUGAAACUAAAGAAGUGGUGAUCCACAAGUACAAGACACCCAUGGCACACCAGAUCUGUUACUCCGUCCUCUGCCUUUUCUCCUACGUGGCUGCGGUGAAGGGGAAGGAAGCAGAAGGCAAGCCCAAGCUCCUAUCUCCAAGACCCCUGCCCAGCUAGUCUACGACCCAUCCAAUCUACCCCCCCCCAACAUACACACACACACAAAGAAAAACUCCUUUGUGCCUCUCACUCUGCAACAAAGUGGAAUCUCGGUCCUACUAUGACAUUGAGUUCUGACAAUCCAGACCUACUUAAGCACACACCUUUGCACCCUGCCCAGCCUGAGGCCUUGGCCGUAAGCGUGCUUGUUCUUCAAGGGGAGACUUGGUCCGUCCGUCCCCCAUCUCUGUCCCCUCUUUGUGACUGUCCUCUCGCCCUGGCCAGCUGCCAAGGUUUUAUUGGUUGUUCUUAAUGGGAUGGAGACAGCGAGGCGGAUGGAUAUGUGAGGCACAGCCCUGCAAGUCGAUAAGAAAGCAACCAACCUCCCAGUCCACUCCCUAUGACUGUGUGAUGAAUAUUUAAUGUGCUACGUGGUAUUACUGUAAAACUCCAGUCUGUCCAAGUCCAAACCAGUGAAACGCUUAAAAAGCACUCUAGUACUGACGGGUGUCACUUUGUUAAAUACUACUACUGUAUGGUGCAUCAAACACUGCAUGUAAAAGCUUUUUAAAGGCUUCAUUCCUUUUGAUCACAAAAUAUAUUGUGUGGUCCAAGAUGCGCGUAUCUCUUUAGCUUGCCCAGUGAGGCUAAACUACUGUAGUUCAACUGUCAAAUUUCUCGUCUGUGGUCCUCUUUAUUGAAUUGCAUGUUACUAUGGAGAAAAAAAUAUAUUUAAAGAGAAGCAGAAUUCUGUACAUUUCACCAUUAAGAAAAUGUUUUACAAUGUGUGGUUUAUUCACUAGAUGUGCAAUACUUUACAUAGUUAGCCAGUGCCAGAUCAUUGUUCUGAUAAAACAUCUCGGCUUUUCUGGCUUUCAAAGUGCAAAGAAUGUAAAAAAAGGACUUCCUGGUCUUACAUAUUUAUUGAAGUAAAUAAAUGAUCUAUUGUUUUAUAAGUGCUAAAUCACUAUUUGGAGAUUCUAAACCUACUGCUGUGCUAUCAAGCCCUGCUGUUAUGGUUUUGUCUGUUAAGUCUUCAUGUUGUGUCUGUACUGUAGUAAGAGAAAUAAAUCCAAUCUAGCCCCAUUUCAGCCCAACUGUAAAUCCCACCGUUUGAGUGUGUAUACAUGCAGUGUAUUGUUUUGCCAGAUCAGCAAUAUAUGAAUAAUAUGAUCAGGAUAUUGUUUCAUGUUUAAGUGGCUUUUAUUUUUUAGAGAGGGAAAUGCUUGUAUAAAGGAACAUAGUUACAAAUUCCAUGAGGCAGUUAUUUAAGGCAUUUCAUUAUUGACAAUAAAAACACUGGUGUAAAUAUGA